ensembl:lncRNA
AGUUCCGCCCGGAAGUGUUUCCGCCCGGACCGGAAAAACAGAACACCGGAAUUUCCGGUAGCGCCGUAAGAAGGAAAAUCAGGGAAUUCGAUGCACCUGUGCCUAGUUAGGGACAGCGGUUGGUGAUUGGAGGAUACGCUGGACAAGCGAAGAGGUGAGAGCAAAACCAAGCUGAACUAACUGUGCCUGUGUGUCCCAGCCGUUGCCUGUGGAGAAAGAGAAAGAGACCGUUGCCUGUGGAGGAAGAGAAAGAGAGUGAGCACCCCGAGAACGAACUGUGUGAACCAGUACUUACCGUGAGCUGUAUUCAGCGAAGAGGAGGAAGAAGGAGGGCGCUACGGAUACCUAAGACUCAGGCCGGGGCCCGAGUCCCACGCCCCGGAUCCCCGUGGCCCCCUUGCUCCCUGACCUCUUCCCGGCCAUAGCCCAUCUGGAGGGCCGAGUCAGAGUUUAGUUUUAAUUGCCCUUUUCCUAUUCCCCAAGCUAUUUUUAAAUAUUUAAAUAAAGAUUGUUUUAUCACUUACUUGUUCUCG